GUGGGAAGUCACAAGCCCCCUAGGGGCGCCCUAGGGGGGCGCCUGGCAGGCUUGUGGGCCCCACGUGGCUCCUUUGCCCUACCUCUUUUGCAUAUAAUUUCUCUAAAUUCCCGAAACCAAAGGAGAGAGCCACGAAAAUACGUUUCCGCCGCUGCAAGGUUCUGUCUCCGCAAGAUCCCAUAUGGGGACCGUUCUGGUGCCCUGCCGGGGGGGAUUCGGCAACGGAGGGCUUCUUCAUCAAGGCCAUUGCCUCUCCGAUGAUGCGUGAGUAGUUCACCACAGACCUUCGGGUCCAUAGCUAGUAGCUAGAUGUCUUGUUCUCUCUCUUGGAUCUUCAAUACAAAGUUCUCCAUGAUCUUCAUGGAGAUCUAUCCGAUGUAACUUUCUUUUGUUGUGUGUUUGUCGAGAUCCAAUGAAUUGUGGAUUUAUGAUGAGAUUAUCUAUGAAUAUUA
rnacentral:lncRNA from 1 species